GUUGUUGAUUUUAUUAAAUUAUUAUUAAUCGGGUUUAAGUGAAUUAGAUGUGUUUUGAACCAAUCUAAAUCAAUUAAUUAAAGUCUAUUAGAAAAAAUUAUGUUAGCUUUGUGCGCAUGCGCGUUAUGUUCCGUUGCCUCGGCGCCAAAGCCCAAAGGAAGGUUUACAGAAUCCAGUCAGAUUGAAGCAAGACACCACAGCCGGAUUUCUGUACAUCCAUUUGCACAGUACUGUACAACAAGUUUCCUUUGCUGAGUUCCUUGGUCAGGGGUUUAAACACAUUUUCUGUCCAGUACUGCAGUUGGAAUUUUCCAUCAACUUUUUAUGGUGGCGCAGUGGGAAGCGCUCUCACCUCACAGCAAGAAGGUCGCUAGUUCGAUUCUCG